rnacentral:rRNA from 1 species
GAUGAACGCUGGCGGCGUGCCUAAUACAUGCAAGUCGAGCGAACAGACGAGGAGCUUGCUCCUCUGACGUUAGCGGCGGACGGGUGAGUAACACGUGGAUAACCUACCUAUAAGACUGGGAUAACUUCGGGAAACCGGAGCUAAUACCGGAUAAUAUAUUGAACCGCAUGGUUCAAUAGUGAAAGACGGUUUUGCUGUCACUUAUAGAUGGAUCCGCGCCGCAUUAGCUAGUUGGUAAGGUAACGGCUUACCAAGGCAACGAUGCGUAGCCGACCUGAGAGGGUGAUCCGCCACACUGGACCUGAGACACGGUCCAGACUCCUACGGGAGGCAGCAGUAGGGAAUCUUCCGCAAUGGGCGAAAGCCUGACGGAGCAACGCCGCGUGAGUGAUGAAGGUCUUCGGAUCGUAAAACUCUGUUAUUAGGGAAGAACAAAUGUGUAAGUAACUAUGCACGUCUUGACGGUACCUAAUCAGAAAGCCACGCCUAACUACGU